GGCCCGUUCGUCUAGCGGCAGGACGCUUGAUUCUCGAUUAAGUAGCAGGAGUUCGAUUCUCCUACGGGCUA
rnacentral:tRNA from 1 species